rnacentral:lncRNA from 1 species
GGCUGGGCUCCCGGCAGCCUGAUCCCUCGACUGAGGCAGGGUCAGAGGGCUAAGGGUGACUGACUGCCCAGCGCCGGGUUCUCUGAAGUGUGCCUUGACUUUUGGGCAGCUGGGUGGCGCAAUGACAGGAGCCAACAGGUGACCCUGGUAACUCGCGCACCUAGGGCCCUGGAUGGAGCUGACUCCCAACAGUAUCCUGAGGGUCUUGGUACUUCCUCCUUGGCACAGAGCAGUUGGUGCUUUUGAAACCAAAGCCAUCCUCAGUAGAGUCCUCAGGGCGCUCAAGCUUUUCCUGUGAGGAAGUGAACUCCAUGCAGGCCUCAGCAAAGGUGCCAGCAUCUGUUAAUGGGAUGGUGAAGUCUGGUGACUGUGUCAACUGGGCCAAGCUGGACUUAGAAAGGCUAAUUCUGACACUAGACACUUGGAUCUCCAGCCCCACGCCUAGUUCUCAUCUUGGGGACCCCACACCACCCUGAUCCUGACCGUUCCCCAUCACCUACUCUAUGCCAG